rnacentral:rRNA from 1 species
UUGGCCGUGCUCGCAAGAGAACCGGAACACAGGUGCUGCAUGGCUGUCGUCAGCUCGUGUCGUGAGAUGUUGGGUUAAGUCCCGCAACGAGCGCAACCCUUGUCAUUAGUUGCUACGCAAGAGCACUCUAAUGAGACUGCCGGUGACAAACCGGAGGAAGGUGGGGAUGACGUCAAGUCCUCAUGGCCCUUAUGGGUAGGGCUUCACACGUCAUACAAUGGUCGGGACAGAGGGUCGCCAACCCGCGAGGGGGAGCCAAUCUCAGAAACCCGAUCGUAGUCCGGAUCGCAGUCUGCAACUCGACUGCGUGAAGUCGGAAUCGCUAGUAAUCGCGGAUCAGAAUGUCGCGGUGAAUACGUUCCCGGGUCUUGUACACACCGCC